GACGAACGCUGGCGGCAUGCCUAAUACAUGCAAGUAGAACGCAGUUGCGAACGGGUGAGUAACGCGUAGGUGCCUGCCUCAUAGCGGGGGAUAACUAUUGGAAACGCUAGCUAAUACCGCAUCCUUUGAGAUGGACCUGCAUUGUAUUAGCUAGUUGGUGAGGUAAAGGCUCACCAAGGCGACGAUACAUAGCAUACCUGAGAGGGGGAGUGUGCAACCUGGGACUGAGUCACGGGCCAGACCCCUUCGGGAGGCAGCAGGAGGGAAUCAUUGGAAAUGGACGGAAGUCGUACCGAGCCACGCCGCGGUAGUGAAGAAGGUUUUCGGAUCGUAAAGCUCUGUUGUUAGAGAAGCGGUAACUAACCAGAAAGGGACGGCUAACUACGUGCCAGCAGCCGCGGUAAUAC
rnacentral:rRNA from 1 species